UUGGUUUUGUAAGAGUGUGUGUGUGUGUGUGUUUGUAAAAAGACAUGAUGCGCGCUUACGUAAAAAUAGCUUUACUCGCCACUAACUCUGCAAUGUUCAACGUGUAGUAAGCCCUGCUGUAGUAGAAAUAUUGAAAAAGGCUUCACAAUCACGGCUUUUCUUUUUGAGACAUAGUGUAUCUAGGACUGCACAAUAUCUAUGUUGAAGGAACCACCACCACCACCACCACCACCACCUCGUUCUUCACCCCUGCUGCCCCUACAUCUCAAAUGAUUCACUAACCCAUCUGUAACACAAGGCAAAGGGGGAAAACUCCAUAUAGUUGCUCAACUGCUAGAAAUAGUAACCAAACUUCCCUCAAAUCAUACCCUUCAUACAGUCUACAAAAAGAUAGGAUUUUCAUAGGUAGUACACCAUGAUCAAAGGUUUGUUCAAUGAAAGCUGACUUACACGUAAACAACAGCAACACUUACAAACACACGGAAUAUUAAUGACUUAUUAUUAUUAAUUAGUCACAAAACUACACUUUCAUAGAAGAAGGCAAUAAGGUUUGCCAGCAUGGAAGGCGGCUGUUAAACAACGAUGACGAUGAUGAUAUUCAUGUUGGUGGAAGGGCUAAAAUAAAUAGUUUGACUAAAGUGAGUCUGCUUCAACCAGUGUCAAUACUUUGUCUCACGACUCACAACAGGAAAGAGCAGCAAGGCUACAAAAACAACAAAUUUUGGAGAAAGUGAAGAAGCCAUGAUAUAUUUGUCCAGAAGUUAUUUUGUUGAACCAGGAGGAAUCAGAAGUAAAGUUGAUCCAGGUAGGAUUUCAACUCAGAACACAAAAGAAAUAUUUGAUAAUGUAAAGAAGUCAAAAUCUGUUACUAUUUUGGAAUACUGGCAGAGUUGUUGAAGCAUUGGAUAGAAUGCUUUGGGGCAUUCAUUAUUCUAGCCAUCUGUUGGAAUUCCGCUGAAGUCGACUGUGCCUUUUAUCCUUUCAGAAUCACUAAAAUAAACAGUAUCAUUUCUAGCAGUUGAUUCUUCCUUUCUCUUUCUAAACAAAGAAACGGGUUAUGUUGAGGCCUGGAGAAGGGAUGGAAUCUACACAGGUUUACAAUACACUAGGUACCCCAUUUAUCUGGAUGGGAUCUUUAUAAUUCCAUCAAAAGUUCAGGGCCCAAGGAAAGAAUUAUUUAUCCCAUGUUUAGACAAGCCAUGACCAGAUCAGCCCUGACAAAACAGAUCAAUGAUCAAAGACAUUCCAUCUAUGACAAUCCAGCUGGAUUCCUUGUGCAGAGAGCUGAGGACAACAUUAUUUAACAUGUCCAUUUACAAAGUGUUAGUGUGUGACUGGAAGAAGAUUUAGUUGCUAUUUUUAGCAGAUUGAGCAACUGUGUGCAGGUUCUCUCACUCAGCCAAGUGAAUGCCAAUAGUGACAGAAGAAAAACAUAAACCCGGAGAAGAAGCACACUCUAAGAAGUAGAGCAGUCUAAAUUAAUGGUGAAGGCCGGUUUAUAGGGUUACCCUGGGUUUCUCGCCAUAAAGUGUGCCUUUGUAGCGUAUCUUCAGACCCUAAGACCCAUUGGCCUCUUUAAAAUAUGAAUGUAUAUAUAUAUAUAUAUAUAUACAAAAGGAACCUUGAGACAAUGUUGAACUGGAUACACUUGUCUGAGAUGUUACGGUCACAGUUGGAAUGUCCGAGAUUACAAGCAUGUUCAAUCCCUUUCUCACAUCAGUAUCCGAGACCCUUGUGGGUAGUAAAGAAAUAAGUAUCUGAGGCCCAGAAAAUGUUCACGAGUCCUACCCUUUCUCCUUUAUACCAUUAAACAACAAUACUCGACGAUAUAAGAACGAACCAAAUACUCUUACGAGGUGAAAAAAAAUCACUGAUGGAAAGUGAGGAGGCAAAUGUUUGCUAUUAAUCCCAUUAAGUGAUAAUGAAGAAUUGGAACAUAUUCCACAGUCACAGAGUUACUGAGGGAAUAAUAGAAUUGCUUUGGUUUGUAUAAACUGUGAAACUACAUAUUGUGAUAUACCGCGAUUUAUUCACGUCUGUGUGUGUGUGUGUGAUGGUGAGUUUGUGAAAAUCUAUUUGUUUGGCCCGUGAGCCAGAUGUUUAAUCUGUGUUGUUGUUGUCAUUAGUUUGUAGGUAAUACAAUGGAAAUCAAUAGAAAUUAUAAAUUCACGAAAAAAGAAAAGAAAUACAGGAAUUCGUUUUAACAACGAAAACUGCUGCUGUAAGAAAUAAUGAAGAAUGGUAAAGAACAUAAUCGACGAAGAAAUGAAAGAAGGAAGACUAAUUAAAAAAAAAAACCAGAAAACGAAAGAUGAAUGAAUGAAUGAACGAAGAAUAUAAAAACCAAAGAGGACAGAAGAAAGAAAAGAAAGCAUCAAGAGUUGACGAUUAAAAUGUAAACAAAUAUUUCGAUAAUUAUCGAAAUCUAAUGGAGAAUUCAUGUUUUUGAGGCUGGGAAUUAGAAUUGAACCCCGGACUCGAUCCACCGAAAUAUCGGAUACAUACAUAUGUUGGUAUUCAAUAGGCAUUUGUUAUGUUGUUAGUAUGUGGUGGGGAAAGGCACAAACGUUCGAAAUAUAUUUUUUCUAUCCAUAAUAAAACAACUCUGAUGAUUUGUAUCGCAGAAGUAUUUAAAAAUAACAAUAAAGAAUUACAAGAAGUCGAAUUUAUUUCGGGAAUAUUGUUGGUAUUGGUAUUAACGGAUGGGAUUUAAGGAUGUUAUGAUGUUUAUGCCUUCUCCAAGUACACUUGUAACAAUAAGAGAGGAGAAAUACUCUGAGAAUCGAAGCCAAAUCGUCUGCUACCUCAAGUCUGUGACAUACCCUGCUUCUUUUAUGAAGUGCCAUAAAAGAAAUGUUGUUUAAUCUUAGGCAUCUCUGAUAGAGAA